rnacentral:rRNA from 1 species
AUCCUACGGGGGGCAGCAGUGGGGAAUAUUGGGCAAUGGAGGCAACUCUUACCCAGCAAUGCCGCGUGAAUGAAGAAGGUCUUCGGAUUGUAAAGUUCUUUAAUUGGGGACGAAAAAAAUGACGGUACCCAAGGAAUAAGCCCCGGCUAACUACGUGCCAGCAGCCGCGGUAAUACGUAGGGGGCAAGCGUUAUCCGGAAUUAUUGGGUGUAAAGGGUGCGUAGACGGGACAGCAAGUUAGUUGUGAAAGCCCUCGGCUUAACUGAGGAACUGCAACUAAAACUAUUCUCCUUGAGUGUCGGAGG